UCAUUUUAUGGUGCAGAAGUGAAGGCCU
rnacentral:piRNA from 1 species